CUCAUCUCAAUUCUCUCUAUUAUCUUACAUGGUUUUUUUCUUUAGCUAUCCAAUUGUCUCAUCUAUGCUAUAUUAUUUUGCUGGGGUUUAUUUUCAGGGUAUCUCAGAGGUGAAACCUAGAAAGAUAUCACUUUUAGUCAUGCAGUUCACUGAGAGGGAUGGAUGCAGUUUGGAUGCUACCUCCCUUGAUAAAUCUAACCCAUUUAUUGCUCGUGCAUUUCUUGAAGCUUGAAAAAGUCAGCUUCUGCAGUGAGGGUUAGCUAAACUUUGGCUUUCUGUUCACUUCAUAAAUACUAGCUUUCAUCACUUCAAAUCCCAACUGAAAAGAAGAGACGCAAACUGCCUGAAAAGUGUUUCCUGCAGAGAGUUUGAAUUCAGUACCACUGGAAGAAUCGUAACUAUAAAAUAAAUAGUUGCUGCUGUUGAACCUAUUUAAGCACAGAGAGCCCAGAGAGGUGAUAUCCCUGUGGCAACUGAUAACUGCCAUUACCUGAUGAAUAAAAGUGUCCGGAAGGCCAUAGGACUUCUAGUCCGUGAAUCAUCUCAGGUUAAGCUUGUUGUGAAACUACUACAUAAUUCUGGUCUGUUAAAAGAAGGUCUACACUAAUUUAUUGAUAUGAUAUUGAUACUAGAGAGAGACUGUUUUUGGCAAAUUUACUAGAUACGGACUAGUUCUCUGUAAAUUGUGGAUGGCUGUAUUCAAAAUUGCUGUCGAAGAUUCUGUACAUCAAUACCAUAAGCAUUAAAGAAUAGAAAACCACAGCAGUUAAAUGGAGCCCUGUGGCAUUUUGUCAAGCCAGUGUUGUUUCUAAUUGGGUGUGUACAACUCUUCUUCAGUCACCAUUUAAUGACUAAAGCCAUGGGAGGCCUCCCUGCUAUAGUCUUGCACCCGUAGUAAAUCCCAUUUGGAUAAGUCAUCAUCAUCUCUACAUGACUACAAGUCCUGAGCCGAGUCCAGCGUAGCUUUGUAAUUGUUUGUUUGCCAUAGCGAACAAGAUAAUCCAUGCAUAUGUUUCUAGAAUUCAUGGUUGGCUUUCUGAUCGCUACUCUGGGUGUGUGGAACAUCCUGGGGAAGGUGCAGUUCGUUGAAGGUACUGUUUCCAUAAUGAAGAAAAGCACCAUUGCUGUUGCAUUUUGGCCCUUUCAAGGUGUAAAUCUUCAACUUACCCUUUUGACUGUAGGGGAAAGUCGGUGGUGGAAAUGAUUGGUUGAGGACCGAGAAAAAGAGUAGAAUAUUGAGAUCUGAUGGUUAACCCCUCUAGAUCUCGUUUGGAUUGUGGAACUAACAUUCUCCAACAGUUUUUGAGAAUGCUUGCAAUCAAAAAAUGCGUAUUAAUGGUAGGGAACCAAAUCAUGAUGUGAUAUGUUAUAACAAAGAAGGAUGUUCAGAAUCUAACAAUUCCUUCUUCAAAAGAUUAGCAAUAACAAUUUAAUUAUAGUCCCUAUAUUUCGUAAUCAAUGCACAAUGCACAGAAAAAUUAAUUUAAAAUUCACUAACCGUCAACUAUAAUCCUUAAAGAUUUAGAUUCCGCAAAUGACAUGAAUUUGCUUUGUUUCCAAAACUUGUUCUUAACCCUAGUGUUUUGCCAAACAAAAGAAAAGGGUUCAGUAGCCUCAAAUUCGUGAAACCAAUCUAUGGCCUUAACUUCUCCCUUUCC